rnacentral:misc_RNA from 1 species
GCAGAGAUGCCAGAUUUCUAUGCCGAAGGUGAGUAUGACCUCAGUGGGUUUGCUGUUGGCAUUGUGAAAAAGGAUUCAGUUAUUGACGGGAAAAACAUCAAGGUUGGAGACGUUCUUAUUGGUUUACCAUCUAGUGGAGUUCAUUCAAAUGGGUUUUCUCUUGUUAGAAGGGUUCUGAAGCAAAGUGGCCUUUCUUUGAAAGACCAACUUCCUGGUGAAUCUAUUACACUUGGUGAAGCUUUGAUUGCCCCAACUGUUAUAUAUGUUAAACAGGUUCUUGAUAUUAUUAGCAAAGGAGGGGUUAAAGGAAUAGCCCACAUUACCGGAGGUGGCUUCACUGACAAUAUCCCUCGAGUAUUUCCCAAAGGCCUUGGAGCCCUUAUUUACGAAGGCUCUUGGACAAUUCCUCCUGUUUUUAAAUGGAUUCAAGAGGCCGGAAGAAUAGAAGAUGCUGAGAUGAUGCGUACUUUCAAUAUGGGAGUCGGUAUGGUCCUUGUAGUAAGUCCAGAAGCAGCUGAUGGGAUACUUAUGGAAGUACAGAAGACAAGCAUUGCAUACCGGAUUGGUGAGGUUGUUAAGGGUGACGGAGUAAGUUAUAGCUGAAAGCUAUUUGGUGGUCAUCGGAGGAUAGACAUGACGUAAUGAGAGUUUUUUCUCCUACCUUCAAUUAAGAGUUUGAAAUUUAGGAGCCUCUCUUAUCGAUCGUGUUUAUGGAUCUUUGUGUUUGUCUAACAACCAAUGCAUAGACACUUAAAGAUGUGUUGUGUUAUGUGUAUUAGUGUGUCAUCAGUUACAUCUGUUAGCCACGAGGAGGAUGUAGACAAGUUCAACAGAUUUU